rnacentral:rRNA from 1 species
GAUGAACGCUGGCGGCGUGCCUAAUACAUGCAAGUCGAGCGAACAGACGAGGAGCUUUCUCCUCUGACGUUAGCGGCGGACGGGUGAGUAACACGUGGAUAACCUACCUAUAAGACUGGGAUAACUUCGGGAAACCGGAGCUAAUACCGGAUAAUAUAUUGAACCGCAUGGUUCAAUAGUGAAAGACGGUUUUGCUGUCACUUAUAGAUGGAUCCGCGCCGCAUUAGCUAGUUGGUAAGGUAACGGCUUACCAAGGCGACGAUGCGUAGCCGACCUGAGAGGGUGAUCGGCCACACUGGAACUGAGACACGGUCCAGACUCCUACGGGAGGCAGCAGUAGGGAAUCUUCCGCAAUGGGCGAAAGCCUGACAGAGCAACGCCGCGUGAGUGAUGAAGGUCUUCGGAUCGUAAAACUCUGUUAUUAGGGAAGAACAAAUGUGUAAGUAACUAUGCACGUCUUGACGGUACCUAAUCAGAAAGCCACGGCUAACUACGUG